GAUGAACGCUGGCGGCGUGCCUAAUACACGCAAGUCGAGCGAACAGACGAGGAGCUUGCUCCUCUGACGUUAGCGGCGGACGGGUGAGUAACACGUGGAUAACCUACCUAUAAGACUGGGAUAACUUCGGGAAGCCGGAGCUAAUACCGGAUAAUAUAUUGAACCGCAUGGUUCAAUAGUGAAAGACGGUUUUGCUGUCACUUAUAGAUGGAUCCGCGCCGCAUUAGCUAGUUGGUAAGGUAACGGCUUACCAAGGCGACGAUGCGUAGCCGACCUGAGAGGGUGAUCGGCCACACUGGAACUGAGACACGGUCCAGACUCCUACGGGAGGCAGCAGUAGGGAAUCUUCCGCAAUGGGCGAAAGCCUGACGGAGCAACGCCGCGUGAGUGAUGAAGGUCUUCGGAUCGUAAAACUCUGUUAUUAGGGAAGAACAAAUGUGUAAGUAACUAUGCACGUCUUGACGGUACCUAAUCAGAAAGCCACGGCUAACUACGUG
rnacentral:rRNA from 1 species